rnacentral:lncRNA from 1 species
AUGGAGGUUUCUGCAUCCAGUGCAGGCCCUGCGCCCUCCCAGAGCUUAGCCCUUGUCCCCUACCGUGGGGGACAGAGCUGGCCCUGGGAUGGGGCUUGGGUUAGGGAGGAGCUCAGGGCCCUCCCGGACCCCAUUCCUGUGCAGCCCGAUGCUUGCGAGCUGCCCGUGUCCAUCCUGGUGCCUGAAGCGGUGGACGCCAUUGAGGCCUUCGUGCAGAGCGCAGAGAAGCCGCAGGACAAGGAGCAGAGGAUGGAAUUCCUGCAGAGCAUCUGCACCGUCUGCAACACAGCGGCGGAGAGGAACCUGCCCUGCGGACUGAGCGCCUUCUGCUGCCGCAACAAGCUGGCUGAGAACAUCACGGAGCUGCUGGUAGAGGAGAAUCGGGGGAAGCUCUCCUUGGAACUGUGGCAGCUCGUCAUGGCCGCCAUCACCGCCCUCAGCGCGGUGAAGGCGGCAUUGGAGGACAGGAUGCGUCUGUUUGUCGUGUGCUUCCAGAGCAUCCUCUUUCCCUGGUGGCAGGAUCUGAACACCAACCUUUACAUCGAGGCCCUGAGGGCUCUGGACCAGAUGCUGCACACCCUGGUGUUUGUCCACCCCGUGGCCAGCAUUGGCGAGGAGCUGCAGGGCCUCUUCCAGGUGCUGCUGCCUUUCACCUGCUCGCAGAACGCGGUCGCGCGCCACGGGGCGGUGAGCUGGAUCUGGAAGCUGAGCCAGUCAUUAGCGCACUUCUGCCAGGGCAGGCUCUCCGGCUUCUCAGGACUGAGCCGCUCGGUGCGCUUCCAAGCUCUCCAUGUGCCCGUGCUGGGGGAGCUGGUGGGAAAGCUGGUGCUGUGCUGCGCCGACCCGGAGAAGAAGCUGCGCUUUCACGCUUUGCGCGCCCUCCACCAACUCUACAGCUUCGUCCUGGAGAGAGCCCGCUGGGAAGCGCAGUCGGAGGAGCAGGAGAAAUCCAAGGAGUGGCAAGCUGAGCAAGAGUUCUGCAUCACCUGGACCACCAACACCUCGAUCAUUGUGGCGAACUUUGUGAAGCACCUCCGCUCUUGGGAGAACACCGACCUCCUCCUCGUGGCGCUGCGGGGCAUGAGGGACCGCAGCAGCUACAACACCCAGGCGGCUGCCACCAUGCUGUCCGUCCUGAUGGUCCACCUCUACCCGACGGCCGACGACGUGCAGCGGAUCAUGGAGGAAAUCCACGAGAGCCGGAAGCUGAUCACGGAGCAGUGGGCACAGAGAUCCAUCAAGAACGCCCUGUGCUGGCUGACCGACUGCCACCCUGACGCGGUGACACGCAGCCUGCUGCGCUGCUGCCCCAACUGGGAAAGGUGCGCUGCCCCCACCCCAAGGACAGGGACCAGCAUCCCAUGUGGAGAGGGAUCUUCAGCCCACC